AUGGCGUCCUUGGUCCAGCACGUCGCGGGGCUCGCGUGCCCACCGCUCUCCGGCGCGUCGCGGCGCCCCGGGGCGCCUAUGCGGCCGUCCGCGCUGGUCUGCGGGACGUACGUGCUGAGCAAGGACGAGAAGGAGCGGGAGCGGAUGCGCACGCUGUUCGACGAGGCCUCCGAGCGCUGCCGCACUGCGCCCAUGGAGGGCAUCACCUUCUCCCCCGAGGACCUCGAAUCCGCCGUCGAGACCACCGACAUCGACACUGACAUUGGCUCACUCAUUAAAGGGACAGUAUUCAUGACCACUUCAAAUGGUGCAUUUAUUGACAUCCAAUCAAAGGCUACUGCUUUCUUGCCUAUAGAUGAGGCAUGCCUUCUCGAUAUUGACAAUAUAGAGGAGGCAGGCAUCCGGCCGGGUUUAGUGGAGCAGUUCAUGAUAAUUGAUGAGAACCCAAAUGAUGAAACUUUGAUUCUGAGCUUACAAUCAAUUCAGCAAGACCUUGCUUGGGAAAGAUGCAGGCAGCUUCAGGCAGAGGAUGUUGUUAUCACGGGUAAAGUAAUUGGUGGUAACAAAGGAGGUGUGGUGGCUCUUGUGGAGGGCCUUAAGGCAUUUGUUCCAUUUUCACAAGUGUCAUCGAAAACAACUGCUGAAGAGCUGCUUGACAAAGAACUACCUCUGAAGUUUGUGGAGGUCGAUGAGGAACAAGGCAGGCUUGUCCUCAGUAAUCGCAAGGCAAUGGCCGACAGCCAAGCCCAGCUUGGUAUUGGCUCAGUUGUUUUGGGAACUGUUGAAAGCCUAAAACCUUAUGGUGCCUUUAUCGAUAUCGGUGGAAUCAAUGGACUUCUGCAUGUCAGCCAAAUUAGUCAUGACCGUGUCGCAGAUAUCUCGACAGUUCUUCAACCAGGAGAUACCCUCAAGGUUAUGAUACUAAGCCAUGACCGUGAAAGGGGCCGGGUUAGCCUUUCUACCAAGAAGCUUGAGCCAACGCCUGGUGACAUGAUUCGUAACCCGAAGCUGGUUUUCGAAAAGGCUGAUGAAAUGGCGCAGAUAUUCAGGCAGAGAAUAGCUCAAGCAGAGGCAAUGGCUCGUGCCGACAUGUUAAGAUUCCAGCCAGAGAGUGGACUGUCUCUCAGUUCAGAGGGUAUCUUAGGUCCAUUGUCAUCAGACACAGCACAGGAGGAAGGCCUACCUACGGACGAAUAG
rnacentral:rRNA from 1 species